rnacentral:piRNA from 1 species
UCAGAGACAGAAACAAGAUGUGAUUGGAGU